rnacentral:ncRNA from 1 species
UCUGGUGUCCGCAUGGCGGAAGAAUCGGGAAGCGGGUGAAAGUCCCGCACGUGCCCAACGCUGUAAUGGGGAUGGUUUGCGCCUAGGCCACUGGAGAUAUCCGGGAAGGCGCGUGAACCAGAAGACCCUAAGUCAGAAGACCGGCCAGACAG